rnacentral:tRNA from 1 species
UCCCUGGCAGUUCAGUGCUUAGGACUCAGCACUUUCACUGCCUUGGCCCGGGAUCAAUCCCUGGUCAGGGAA